AUGUCCCCCCCUGGACACUGGAGCCCCCCAGGAACCCCGGAGCCCCGGAAGCUUCGCUGCACUUUAUGGCUCCUGCCCUCGGCUGCACUGAUCCCCGUCCCACCUGCCCGGGCUCCUGACGGGCUCCAUCCGUCCAUCCCGGCCCUGCCCGGGGCAAAACCCCACAUCCCGCCCCCAGGAACUGCCCCCCUGCCCCCCAUCCCGAGUCCGUGUGUUUCAAGAGUUUGGCUUUGCUCUCCGUCUGCUCCAGCUCUGCUUUUCCUGCUGGGAGCUCACCUGGGCGAGAUCCAGGUGAGCCCCGUGCCCCAGGCGGGCGGGGCCCAGCUGCGCCUCCCCUGGGAUCUGGGGCUGGAUUGGGGCGAUCUGGAUCUGGGAUCGGGGGAUCCCACCUGCGCCUCCCCUGGGAUCUGGGGCUGCACUGGGGGAUCUGGAUCUGGGAUCAGGGGGUCCCACCUGCGCCUCCCUUGGGAUCUGGGGCCGGAUUGGGGCGAUCUGGAUCUGGGAUAUGGAUCGGGGGGAUCCCACCUGCACCUCCCUUGGGAUCUGGGGCUGGAUUGGGGGAUCUGGAUCUGGGAUCAGGGGGUCCCACCUACGCCUCCCUUGGGAUCUGGAUCUGGGGGAUCCCACCUGCACCCUCCAUGGGAUCUGGGGCUGAAUUGGGGCGAUCUGGACCUGGAUCUGGGGGAUCCCACCUGCACCUCCCUUGCGAUCUGGGAUCUGGACUGGGGGGAUCUGGAUCUGGUAUACGGAUCUGGAGAUCCCACCUGCACCUCCCUUGGGAUCUGGGGCUGGAUGAGGGGGAUCUCGCCUCCUUUGGGAUCUGGAAAAUUCCACCUGCACCUCCCCUGGGAUCUGGAUCUGGGGGUUCCCACCUGCGCCCUCCAUGGGAUCUGGGGGAUCCCACCUGCGCCUCCCCUGGGAUCUGGAUCUGGGGGAUCCCACCUGCGCCCUCCAUGGGAUCUGGGGGAUCCCACCUGCGCCCUCCAUGGGAUCUGGAUCUGGGGGAUCCCACCUGCGCCCUCCAUGGGAUCUGGUUCUGGGGGAUCCCACCUGCGCCCUCCAUGGGAUCUGGAUCUGGGGGAUCCCACCUGCGCCCUCCAUGGGAAGCAAAUUCCAGUGGAGUUCUAG
rnacentral:lncRNA from 1 species